rnacentral:rRNA from 1 species
GACGAACGCUGGCGGCGUGCUUAACACAUGCAAGUCGAGCGGUAAGGCCCUUUCGGGGGUACACGAGCGGCGAACGGGUGAGUAACACGUGGGUGACCUGCCCUCAGCUCUGGGAUAAGCCUGGGAAACUGGGUCUAAUACCGGAUAUGACUCCAUGACGCAUGUUGUGGGGUGGAAAGCCUUGUGCGGCUGGGGAUGGGCCCGCGGCCUAUCAGCUUGUUGGUGGGGUGAUGGCCACCAAGGCGACGACGGGUAGCCGGCCUGAGAGGGCGACCGGCCACACUGGGACUGAGACACGGCCCAGACUCCUACGGGAGGCAGCAGUGGGGAAUCUUGCGCAA